rnacentral:lncRNA from 1 species
AUGAAGACAUUAGUGGGACUGUUGCUUUUGCUUCUCAGUUAUUCAGCCUCAGCAGCUCCAUCUGUCAGUGCUUCAGCUGUCAGUGCUUCAGCUGUCAGUGAUCCAGCUGUCAGUGAUCCAUCUGUCAGUGCUUCAGCUGUCAGUGCUUCAGCUGUCAGUGAUCCAGCUGUCAGUGAUCCAUCUGUCAGUGCUUCAGCUGUCAGUGCUUCAGCUGUCAGUGAUCCAUCUGUCAGUGCUUCAGCUGUCAGUGAUCCAGCUGUCAGUGAUCCAGCUGCCAGGGCUCUAACUGUCAAUGCUUCAGUACUGGAUGGAAAUACAAGUCCUCAAACACGCCGUAACCUUGUCAUCAUGGCCGCCAGUUCUCCCGUUGUGGUCGUGAUACUCUUCUAUGCAAUAGCCCGGGGAUGUGGUGCAACGAACAGCGAAAUCUUAGUAUGUCUUGCUCUAUGCUGUUAUCUCAGAGCGGUAUGAUGUCAGCUGCUUCAAAUUACUGAAUAAAAGGGUUUGGUCUUUGCUCUUUGGGUAUUAAAUAUUUUUUAUUCAUCCUGUGUUUUAAAUAUAUACUAUCUUUUAGCACACUUGUUAUAUCUGUCUUUCUUAUAUCUCUUUUGACACAAAUGUGUAUGCUUGCAUGUUGUAGUCAACCGAUUUUCUUUUUAUGUUUAAUAAAAUGUUCUGUUUAAAGAAAUUCAUAAAAUUGGGUGGUAUCUAUAACCUGCUUUUCUACAAUUAAUGAGCACUGUGGUGCAAACUCUGUCACUUCUGCUUGCAUGACAUGUUCCAUCAAAUAGACCAAAUCAGCUGUUCCUCACAUUACAUAUUGUCAAGAAGACUGAGAUCCCUCGGCUCAGACAAAAGCUUGUAUGUGUGUAUUAGGAUGUGAUGAUUUCACAUCACAAUAAGUGAUGUUGUUUGUAUCAGAGGAUUUAUAAAAACCUCUGCAGUUAAUGAUUAUUCGCAGUUUCCCCGGGGUAUCGUUAAAGUGAGCUUGAAGACUUCUGUUUCACACAGUCGAUUUUUUUUAUACCCACUAGAGAUAAAUUUUUUACUUUUCUUUAAACUCUUACAUUUUGAAUGUGAAUAUUAUUAACUGAUUGAGCUGUUUCAUUUGCCGUUUCUAAAUUGCUUAAUAAAGUAUCUUUUAAAGUUAAUUUUGUGGACAUUCCAUUCUUUUGACGUAAAGGUCGAACUUGGGCAGGAGUAUUAACAUCUACUUUUUUAAAGUUCUUAUAGGUUAUUCUAGUGUUUGAAAGCUAACAGAUCCCUGGGGUCUGUUUUCCAGGCCACCUCUGGUAAAUCUUAGCAAAUUUCCAAGUGCCAAAGAUCGUUAGAGAGGAGCUACAGUUAAUGAAUGUGGCUGUUGAUCAUACUUUACUCAGGGUUGCUAGUAAAGGAUGCAGUUCGCUAAAUGAUUGUGAACUGCGGGGAGGCAUUCAGACAGAGGUAGUGAGUGCUGAGAGAUAAAUAAAAUCUGUUAACCUAUCGUGGUAAUACCCCUGAGAUCAGAGACUCUGAUCCUUUCAACUAGAAAGCCAAUUUUAUGACUAUGCUGCAGUUUCUUUUGGCUAGAACUGAACAAUGAACCACCAGGUGGUGCAGUUGUACAUUUUUAUAUUUAUGUUACAUUUUGGGAAUUUAGGCAGCAUCUUGCAGAGUUAAAUCUUUGGUUUCACCACAUCUCAAAUAAACAUGAUUUUUGGAGGCCAAUGAAGUCUUUGGAAAGAAACCAGUUUGAGAUAAUCUGAGCUUGGUGAAAUGACCCUUCUGAAAACAGCUGAUAGAAACAAUGCAAACUGUAAUCAUGAAUGCACAGAAAUGCUGUGGUAUAUAAAUAAUCCUCAGAUGCCAACAAAGGGAGGAAAGUGUUCCAGACAACAUUCUUCAUACUAUCACAACAUCUACUUGAGUUGUUAGAACAAGGUAGAAGUGACAGUCGUUUACCACGUCUUGAAGAUAUCCUCAGUUGAGGUCAGAAGCGCUCCGUCUUCACUGGACUCAGUGCAAAACGAGAUACAAACUAUUAAAAUAAUAGAAAACAAAGAAACAUUUCACAAAGAGUGAAAAUAAUAUCACAACCAAAACCUUCAUCUUGUG